AUUGAUUGUGACAUCGGUUAUUUUGGUUUGGUCCUUUUACAAUAAUUGUUCUCUCAGUAAAGUUAGUUUACGCAAAAAAAAGUUUAAAAUUUCUGUCCAUAAGGAAGAUGUUUCAUUAUAACUUUAUAUAAACAAAAGGAUGAAAUCUCAUAGACUGUCAUGUCAAAUUGUGCAAUGCCAGAUUAGAGUUUCACAGAGGAUGAAC